AACGAACGCUGGCGGCAGGCCUAAUACAUGCAAGUCGAACGAAGCCUUCGGGCUUAGUGGCGCACGGGUGCGUAACGCGUGGGAACGUACCCCUGGGUGCGGAACAACGUCGGGAAACUGACGCUAAUACCGCAUAAUGACACCGGUCCAAAGAUUUAUCGCCCAGGGAUCGGCCCGCGUUAGAUUAGCUAGUUGGUGGGGUAAUGGCCUACCAAGGCUACGAUCUAUAGCUGGUCUGAGAGGAUGAUCAGCCACACUGGGACUGAGACACGGCCCAGACUCCUACGGGAGGCAGCAGUAAGGAAUAUUGGACAAUGGAGGAAACUCUGAUCCAGCCAUGCCGCGUGAGUGAUGAAGGCCUUCGGGUUGUAAAGCUCUUUCAGGUGCGACGAUGAUGACGGUAACACCAGAAGAAGCCCCGGCUAACUUCGUGCCAGCAGCCGCGGUAAUACGAAGGGGCGAGCGUUGUUCGGAAUCACUGGGCUUAAAGCGUGCGUA
rnacentral:rRNA from 1 species